ensembl:snRNA U1 U1 spliceosomal RNA
AUACUUACGUGGCAGGGGAAAUACCAUGAUCACGAAGGUGGUUUUCCCAGGGCGAGGCUUAUCCACUGCACUCUGGAUGUGUUGACCCCUGCGAUUUCCCCAAAUGUGGGAAACUCGACUGCAUAGUUUGGC